GAUGAACGCUAGCUACAGGCUUAACACAUGCAAGUCGAGGGGCAUCGAGAGGAAAGCUUGCUUUCCUUGUCGGCGACCGGCGCACGGGUGAGUAACGCGUAUCCAACCUUCCCCUUAGUAGGGCAUAGCCCGGCGAAAGUCGGAUUAAUACCCUAUGUUUUCCGAUGAGGACAUCUGAGCUGGAACAAAGAUUUAUCGCUAAGGGAUGGGGAUGCGUCUGAUUAGGUUGUUGGCGGGGUAACGGCCCACCAAGCCAUCGAUCAGUAGGGGUUCUGAGAGGAAGGUCCCCCACAUUGGUACUGAGACACGGACCAAACUCCUACGGGAGGCAGCAGUGAGGAAUAUUGGUCAAUGGGCGAGAGCCUGAACCAGCCAAGUAGCGUGCAGGAUGACGGCCCUAUGGGUUGUAAACUGCUUUUAUGCGGGGAUAAAGUCACCUACGUGUAGGUGUUUGUAGGUACCGCAUGAAUAAGGACCGGCUAAUUCCGUGCCAGCAGCCGCGGUAACAC
rnacentral:rRNA from 1 species